AGGGAUAUAGCCAAGCAAGGUAAGGCAAGCGGCUGUUAACCGCUUAUGCACUGGUUCGAGUCCAGUUAUCCCUG
rnacentral:tRNA from 1 species